rnacentral:rRNA from 1 species
AUUGAACGCUGGCGGCAGGCCUAACACAUGCAAGUCGAGCGGAGCGGCGGACGGGUGAGUAAUGCCUAGGAAUCUGCCUGGUAGUGGGGGAUAACGUCCGGAAACGGGCGCUAAUACCGCAUACUAUCAGAUGCGCCUAGGUAGGAUUAGCUAGUUGGUGGGGUAAAGGCCUACCAAUGCGCCGAGCCGUAACUGGUCUGCGAGGAUGAUGAGUCAAACUGGAACUGAGACACGGUCCAGAAUCCUAGGGGAGGCAGCAGUGGGGAAUAUUGCACAAUGGGCGCAAGCCUGAUACAGCCAUGCCGCGUGUAUGAAGAAGGCAUGCGGGUGGUAAAGUACUUUCAGCGGGGAGGCGUUACCCGCAGAAGAAGCAACGGCUAACUCCGUGCCAGCGGCCGCGGUAAUUC